GCCAGGCAUGAUGGCUCACGCCUAUAAUCCCAGCACUUUGGGAGGCUGAGGCAGGUGGAUCACUUGAGGCCAGGAGUUUGAGACCAGCCUGGCCAUCAGGGUGAAACCCCGUCUCUACUAAAAAUGCAAAAAAAUUAGCUGGGCGUGGUGGUGCACGCCUGUAAUCCCAGCNNNNNNNNNNGCUGGGAUUACAGGCGUGCACCACCACGCCCAGCUAAUUUUUUUGCAUUUUUAGUAGAGACGGGGUUUCACCCUGAUGGCCAGGCUGGUCUCAAACUCCUGGCCUCAAGUGAUCCACCUGCCUCGG
rnacentral:SRP_RNA from 1 species